CGCCUGCCUGGCAAGCGCAAGGUCGUGAGUUCGGUUCCUGGUACCGGAGAAAAACCAAAAAAAAAAAAAAAAAGAGAUUGUUUCUUGUAGUUCCAGUCAAAGAAACGUCCAGCAACUUUUUUGGUUGUACAGUCGAAGGUGCUUGAGUCAUUGGCAUGUGAGAGAAAUAUACCUGCAUGUUAGUCUAAGGUUCUGAUAGAAAUGACAUGCAAGUAUGCUGUCAUUUUUUCACUAUCAGGAUUCGACUGGUGUGCGGACACU
rnacentral:snoRNA from 1 species